CCUACUUUUUCAGUAGAACUACCGCCUUCCUGCUUCUUGAUUUCUGGCUCUUUCUUCUCAGACUUAAUUUCAUCCUUCGUUUCAUUCUCUUCGGAAUGUAUUUCCUUGUCUUCUUCUUUAUUAUCAUGUUGGAGGAUUGUCUUUUUGGAAUUCUCCAGAUGUUCAGCAAGACGCUGACGUGUGCGCCUAGCAACAGAAGUGGUAGUGGCAGAUGUCGAAGAUUCAGGUUCCCCCUCAGAUGUCUCUGAUUUCUGCGCAGUGGGGCGUGAAGGAGUCGCAUAAGUUGAAGGAGUGGAGGAUGCCUCUAACAAGGCGUUAAUAAACGGGGUCAUGCUGUAGUCUUUGGCAAGAGCCAAGGCAUCUGCAGGAGGCACCCAUAGUCCAGCAACACGUUUGUCUUCAAUUGGGUUUAAAUUAUCACGAAUCCAUCUCAUUUCCAAGUCUUCUUCUUCUUGGGUAGCCUUAGGGAAAGCUGAACGAAACCUAAUCGGGUUUAGAUUUUUAGAAAAAGAUAUGAAAAAACGCUUACAUUGACGUAGCACUAAUGCUUGAAUCCUUUGCCAUCCUCAUAAGAAAGUGAGGUCUAUAUUUAUAUACAUCAUUAGUAUUUUUCCAAAAACAACACUGCAAAAAAAAGAUAAUUACACUUUAGAUUCCGGAUUUGUACACUUGAGACGAACAAAAGUAGCUGGUCCAU